AGUGCUCCUCUUGUUCUUUAUGUGCUCAAUUCUAUGAGGAAGGGAAAUGGAUACCUUGGCUUGUGCUUCUAAUUCUGAGGAGGAGGACCUUGGUAAAAGACUUCUUGAAAUUAGGAACGAGCUGUUUCAACAGUUCCCUUCUUCUAAAAAGGUGCUUCUGGAGAAACUUGAGGUGAGAUUAUUUUCUUUUAUCUUUCCAUCUAUUUACCCACAUAAACCUAUGAAUCCAAAUAAUACAAUGUUCAAG
rnacentral:lncRNA from 1 species